UACGGAGGGUGCAAGCGUUAUCCGGAUUCACUGGGUUUAAAGGGUGCGUAGGUGGCUUUGUAAGUCAGUGGUGAAAUACCGGAGCUCAACUCCGGAACUGCCAUUGAUACUGCUUAGCUUGAAUCAGGUCGAGGUGGACGGAAUAUUACAUGUAGCGGUGAAAUGCUUAGAUAUGUAAUAGAACACCGAUUGCGAAGGCAGUUCACUAGGCCUGAAUUGACACUGAGGCACGAAAGCGUGGGGAUCAAACAGG
rnacentral:rRNA from 1 species